AGUCGCCCCAGCCUGCGCCCCAGGGGAUACCUCCUCUUCCAGAGUUGAAGAGUGAGAUAUUGUCUCUUGUAGUUCCUUCUGUGGGCAUUUUGAGUCAAGAAGUCAACCGUUCUGAUAACUACAGAUCAGAUUCCUAAAGCUGCAAGAAAAAGAUAACAAUUUUCAGCCUGAAUACCCCAUUUGGGGAUUCCUGAUUGUCACUGAAAACUCAAGAAAGCCUUCUCUGCAGCUGCCCGGCAGCCUCCCUCAGUGCGUGCAAAGAGCUGUCUGAGGACGAGCCCCUGCUCUCCCCGUCACCAGCACAAGCAGCAAGGAUGGCGCAUAAAUGUACCCUGAGCACAGGAAAGUAAAAACGUGGGAGGCUAAACGUCUACGUUCUUGACUUACACAAUGUAAGAACUCUCCAAAUGACUCUUCAGAAUAAAGUCCCAGGAAAUAUA
rnacentral:lncRNA from 1 species